UAUUUUUGCAGUUUUACAUUUAUAUUAUGGGUAUAUGAUCUUCAGCUGUAAAUUGUUUUCAAAUUUUUUGUAAUAAGAAUGAAGUUUGUCCGUUAGUUUUUUUCCAUAUCUGAAUUAAUCAGUGUUGGCCGCGUACUAGUUGUCAUAUAUAAAUUUUAGUACUUCUUAUGAUGACAAUACAGCAGUUUACUCAAGGAAUGGAGACGCAUGGAUUCACUUAUCUCACACGUGGGAAAGUAUCAACAUCCUACAUUAAUGGACUGGAGGAGGUCGAGAAUAUUGCAGGUUUAAUGCAGUCUACGUAUAAUAGUUACUCAAAAAGGCAGUACGGCAGAUCACUCAAG